rnacentral:rRNA from 1 species
CCUACGGGAGACAGCAGUAGGGAAUUUUCGUCCAUGGGGGGAACCCUGACCGAGCAACGCCGCGUGAACGAAGAAGUUAUUCGUAAUGUAAAGUUCUUUUAACAGGGAAGAAAGAGCAAUUUGCCGUUACCUGAAGAAUAAGCUCCUGCAAACUACGUGCCAGCAGCCGCGGUAAUACGUAGGGAGCGAGCGUUGUCCGGAAUUAUUGUGCGUAAAGGGUUCGUAGGUGGCAUAGUAAGUCUUUUGUAAAAAGGCUGGGCGCAACCCAGUAGGGGAAAAGAGACGGCAAAGAUAGAGUAUGACAGAGGUAAGUGGAACUACAUGUGGAGCGGUAAGAUACGGAAAUAU